CGGGAAUAUUGCGCAAUGGAGGAAACUCUGACGCAGUGACGCCGCGUAUAGGAAGAAGGUUUUCGGAUUGUAAACUAUUGUCGUUAGGGAAGAUAAAAGACAGUACCUAAGGAGGAAGCUCCGGCUAACUACGUGCCAGCAGCCGCGGUAAUACGUAGGGAGCAAGCGUUAUCCGGAUUUAUUGGGUGUAAAGGGUGCGUAGACGGGAAAAUAAGUUAGUUGUGAAAUCCCUCGGCUUAACUGAGGAACUGCAACUAAAACUAUUUUUCUUGAGUAUUGGAGAGGAAAGUGGAAUUCCUAGUGUAGCGGUGAAAUGCGUAGAUAUUAGGAGGAACACCAGUGGCGAAGGCGACUUUCUGGACAAUAACUGACGUUGAGGCACGAAAGUGUGGGGAGCAAAC
rnacentral:rRNA from 1 species